UACGUAGGGUGCAAGCGUUAAUCGGAAUUACUGGGCGUAAAGCGUGCGCAGGCGGCUAUGCAAGACAGAUGUGAAAUCCCCGGGCUCAACCUGGGAACUGCAUUUGUGACUGCAUAGCUAGAGUACGGUAGAGGGGGAUGGAAUUCCGCGUGUAGCAGUGAAAUGCGGUAGAUAUGCGGAGGAACACCGAUGGCGAAGGCAAUCCCCUGGACCUGUACUGACGCUCAUGCACGAAAGCGUGGGGAGCAAACAGG
rnacentral:rRNA from 1 species